rnacentral:rRNA from 1 species
AUUGAACGCUGGCGGCAGGCCUAACACAUGCAAGUCGAACGAGUGGCGGACGGGUGAGUAAUGUCUGGGAAACUGCCUGAUGGAGGGGGAUAACUACUGGAACCGGUAGCUAUACCGCAUACCCUCUGAUUUGCCCAUAUGGGAUUAGCUCGUUGGUGGGGUAACGGCUCACCAAGGCGACGAUCCCUAGCUGGUCUGAGAGGAUGACCGGCCACACGGGAACGGAGACACGGUCCAGACUCCUACGGGAGGCAGCAGUGGGGAAUAUUCCACAAUGGGCGAAAGCCUGAUGCAGCCAUGCCGCGUGUAUGAAGAAGGCCUUCGGGUUGUAAAGUACUUUCAGCGGGGAGGCGUUACCCGAAGAAGAAGCAACGGCUAACUCCGUGCCAGCAGCCGCGGUAAUUC